GGGGAAUAUUGCACAAUGGGCGAAAGCCUGAUGCAGCAACGCCGCGUGAGUGAUGACGGUCUUCGGAUUGUAAAGCUCUGUCUUUUGGGACGAUAAUGACGGUACCAAAGGAGGAAGCCACGGCUAACUACGUGCCAGCAGCCGCGGUAAUACGUAGGUGGCAAGCGUUGUCCGGAUUUACUGGGCGUAAAGGAUGUGUAGGCGGAUACUUAAGUGAGAUGUGAAAGCCCCGGGCUUAACCUGGGGACUGCAUUUCAAACUGGGUAUCUAGAGUGCAGGAGAGGAAAGCGGAAUUCCUAGUGUAGCGGUGAAAUGCGUAGAGAUUAGGAAGAACAUCAGUGGCGAAGGCGGCUUUCUGGACUGUAACUGACGCUGAGGCAUGAAAGCGUGGGGAGCAAAC
rnacentral:rRNA from 1 species